rnacentral:rRNA from 1 species
AUACGUAGGGUGCAAGCGUUAAUCGGAAUUACUGGGCGUAAAGCGUGCGCAGGCGGUUUUGUAAGAAAGUGGUGAAAUCCCCGGGGUCAACCUGGGAACUGCCCUUGUGACUGCCAGGCUGGAGGGCCGCAGCGGGGGAUGGAAUUCCGCGUGUAGCAGUGAGAUGCGUAGAUAUGCGGAGGAACACCGAUGGCGAAGACAAUCCCCUGGGCCUGCACUGACGCUCAUGCACGAAAGCGUGGGGAGCAAACAGGAUUAGAUACCCUGGUAGUCCACGCCCUAAACGAUGUCAACUGGUUGUUGGGGAUUUAUUUUCUCAGUAACGAAGCUAACGCGUGAAGUUGACCGCCUGGGGAGUACGGCCGCAAGGUUAAAACUCAAAGGAAUUGACGGGG